AGGACGAACGCUGGCGGCGUGCUUAACACAUGCAAGUCGAGCGGAAAGGCCCUUCGGGGUACUCGAGCGGCGAACGGGUGAGUAACACGUGAGCAACCUGCCCCUGACUCUGGGAUAAGCCUAGGAAACUGGGUCUAAUACCGGAUAGUACCCCCUGUUUCAUGGUGGGGGGUGGAAAGUUUUUCGGUUGGGGAUGGGCUCGCGGCCUAUCAGCUUGUUGGUGGGGUGAUGGCCUACCAAGGCAACGACGGGUAGCCGGCCUGAGAGGGCGACCGGCCACACUGGGACUGAGACACGGCCCAGACUCCUACGGGAGGCAGCAGUGGGGAAUAUUGCGCAAUGGGCGAAAGCCUGACGCAGCGACGCCGCGUGGGGGAUGAAGGCCUUCGGGUUGUAAACCCCUUUCAGCACCGACGAAGCGAAAGUGACGGUAGGUGCAGAGAAGCGCCGGCUAACUACGUGCAGCAGCCGC
rnacentral:rRNA from 1 species